UACAGAGGCUCCAAGCGUUAUCCGGUUUCACUGGGCGUAAAGCGUUCCGAUAGGUUGUUUAAUGUGUCAAAUGUAAAAUACCGGAGCUCAACUCCGUGUCUGCAUUCGAAACUAUUAGACUAGAGGUGCAAAGAAGUAGCUGGAACUGUGUAAGUAGGGGUAAAAUCCGUUGAUAUGCAUAGGAACACCAAAAGCGAAAGCAGGCUACUAAGUGCAUCCUGACACUUCUAGGACGAAAGCGUGGGUAGCGAAUAGG
rnacentral:rRNA from 1 species